GAGAGUUAAACAGUACGUGAAAUUGUUGAAAGGGAAACGAUUGAAGUCAGUCAUACCAACGGGAAAUCAACCUUUUGAGUUUGGUCUCGUGGGUUUUGAAGAGUUUAAAAGCCUUCGGAUUUUCGAGAUUGGGUUCUUCUGGUGUACUUUCUCGUACGGUUAGUCAACAUCGGUUUUGAAUGUCAUAAAAUGACUGGAGGAAUGUGGCUUCGAUCUCGUAUUGAAGUGUUAUAGCCUUUGGUAGAUGUGAUGUUUGAGACCGAGGAUUGCAACGGAUACCCUUCAGGGCUAUUCGUCUGAUCUCUGAUACGUUGCCCUGAUGUUGAAAGCUUGCUUAUGAUGUUAGGGUAUUACGGUCAAAAGGUUAGAACGAAUUACAUUCGUUAAGGAUGUUGACGUAAUGACUUUAAACGA
rnacentral:rRNA from 1 species